UACGUGGGGUGCAAGCGUUGUUCGGAAUUACUGGGCGUAAAGCGUGUGUAGGCGGCUCGUUAAGUCUGACGUGAAAUCCCUGGGCUUAACCCAGGAACUGCAUCGGAAACUAGCGAGCUUGAGUCCGGGAGAGGGUAGUGGAAUUCCUGGUGUAGAGGUGAAAUUCGUAGAUAUCAGGAGGAACACCGGUGGCGAAGGCGGCUACCUGGACCGGUACUGACGCUGAGACACGAAAGCGUGGGGAGCAAACAG
rnacentral:rRNA from 1 species